CUUGGUGAGCUUGAAUAGGCUAAAUUUAAGUGACCUUUAGUGAGAUUGGCCUAAAACGGAAUACAAAUGAAUUAUUCUAGGACAUAUAGGCUUUCAGGAUCAAUUCAGAGGUUCAACUGUUCGGGAUUCAUUUUGCUUAGCCAUAGUCAUUAUGCGCUAAAAUGGUCCCUGCCAGUGUUUUUCUAUUCUGAUGUUUGUGGAUGAAUCUUUCAGCUACAGCUUUGUUACAUUUCCUUUCGAUGGUUUGCUAGUUUAACUAUACAGCAAUAAAUCAAAUGAUGUAAGAUGAUGUGUCCGUUGCGUGGCUGUCAUGUGAGAGCCGUAUACGCAUUUUAAAAACACCUGUAAUCAGCGUGACUAUGACUUUCCGAGCGGAUCAUGGGGGGCUCUUCAAUCAUUUAUUUUUUAGGAUUUUCUCCCGUCAUCCUCCAGUUUAUUGCAAACAUCUGGAGAUAAGUCGGUUUAAUUAAAUACUCAAGUGAAAUACAAGUGUACCUCCAAAUUGCACUUAUUGUACAGUACUUCGGUAAGGGCAUUUACAAUCCAUCACUAAAGUUUUAAUAGAAUAUUCUGAUUCAGCGGAUUUAAAAUGUAUUUGUAUAAUCUUCACAAAUCUUGCAGCAAUGCAAUGUUAAUAUAUCAUCAUGGGAAAUGAGUAUUCUGAUUCAGCACAUUUACUAUUUAUUUGUAUAAACUUCACAACUCACAGCAAUGAAAUGUUAAUUUAUCAUCAUGGGAAAUAGCAUAUAGACAAGCUUCAUAAAAAUUCAUUUCUAAGCAGUAGGCCUACUACAUAUUUCUCAACGUAAGCAUCAUGACCAUAAGCUAUCCCAACGUUUUCACACCUUUCACACAGUAGGGCAGCAUUAGUCAUGCAUGAUUAACAACACAUCAAAGAAACUUUAUUGAGGGAUAACAGUGAAUAAAACAUCUGCGUCUUGGGUAAAGAUGGGCUAUGCUUAAUGUGAGCAGAGCCCGAUUGGAAGGAAGCCCAUUCAGGACGAAGUUUACCCGGAGAAGGCAGCUUCCAGGCAGAUGAAGAUGGGGGGGCUCUACUUCUUAUUACCACAACAGGAACAGAACGCAGCCAAGCCAAUGAAUUCAGCCAA